rnacentral:rRNA from 1 species
UACGUAGGGCGCAAGCGUUAUCCGGAAUUAUUGGGCGUAAAGAGCUCGUAGGCGGUUUGUUGCGUCGGCCGUGAAAACCUGCAGCUUAACUGUGGGCCUGCGGCCGAUACGGGCAGACUUGAGUUCGGUAGGGGAGACUGGAAUUCCUGGUGUAGCGGUGAAAUGCGCAGAUAUCAGGAGGAACACCGGUGGCGAAGGCGGGUCUCUGGGCCGAUACUGACGCUGAUGAGCGAAAGCGUGGGGAGCGAACAGG